AUAAAGUCAAGCAAGUAAGGGCGUACGGCGGAUGCCUUGGCCAUAUCAGCCGAAGAAGGACGCGAUAAGCUGCGAAAAGCUGCGGUGAGGUGCAAGUAAC
rnacentral:rRNA from 1 species